CACUCCUACGGGAGGCAGCAGUGGGGAAUAUUGCACAAUGGGCGCAAGCCUGAUGCAGCCAUGCCGCGUGUAUGAAGAAGGCCUUCGGGUUGUAAAGUACUUUCAGCGGGGAGGAAGGCAAUACGGUUAAUAACCGUGUUGAUUGACGUUACCCGCAGAAGAAGCACCGGCUAACUCCGUGCCAGCAGCCGCGGUAAUACGGAGGGUGCAAGCGUUAAUCGGAAUUACUGGGCGUAAAGCGCACGCAGGCGGUCUGUCAAGUCGGAUGUGAAAUCCCCGGGCUCAACCUGGGAACUGCAUUCGAAACUGGCAGGCUUGAGUCUUGUAGAGGGGGGUAGAAUUCCAGGUGUAGCGGUGAAAUGCGUAGAGAUCUGGAGGAAUACCGGUGGCGAAGGCGGCCCCCUGGACAAAGACUGACGCUCAGGUGCGAAAGCGUGGGGAGCAAACAGGAUUAGAUACCCCUGUAGUCCCAUG
rnacentral:rRNA from 1 species